GACGAACGCUGGCGGCGUGCUUAACACAUGCAAGUCGAACGGUGAAGGGAUCAGCUUGCUGGUUCUGGAUGAGUGGCGAACGGGUGAGUAACACGUGAGUAACCUGCCCCCUUCUUCUGGAUAACCGCAUGAAAGUGUGGCUAAUACGGGAUAUUCUGGGUCUGUCGCAUGAUGGGUCUGGGAAAGAUCUUGUUUCGGUGGGGGAUGGGCUCGCGGCCUAUCAGCUUGUUGGUGGGGUGAUGGCCUACCAAGGCGGUGACGGGUAGCCGGCCUGAGAGGGUGGACGGUCACACUGGGACUGAGACACGGCCCAGACUCCUACGGGAGGCAGCAGUGGGGAAUAUUGCACAAUGGGCGCAAGCCUGAUGCAGCGACGCCGCGUGAGGGAUGGAGGCCUUCGGGUUGUAAACCUCUUUCGCCAGUGAAGCAGGCCUGCUCCUUGUGGGUGGGUUGACGGUAGCUGGAUAAGAAGCGCCGGCUAACUACGUG
rnacentral:rRNA from 1 species